GUGCCAGCAGCCGCGGUAAUACGUAGGUGGCAAGCGUUGUCCGGAUUUACUGGGCGUAAAGGAUGCGUAGGCGGAUAUUUAAGUGAGAUGUGAAAUCCCCGGGCUUAACUUGGGGGCUGCAUUCCAAACUGGAUGUCUAGAGUGCAGGAGAGGAAAGCAGAAUUCCUAGUGUAGCGGUGUAAUGCGUAGAGAUUAUGAAAAAUACCAGUGGCGCAGGCGGCUUCCUGGACUGUAA
rnacentral:rRNA from 1 species